rnacentral:rRNA from 1 species
AACGAACGCUGGCGGCGUGCCUAACACAUGCCAGUCGAACGAGAAAGGGGCUUCGGCUCCGAGUAAAGUGGCGCACGGGUGAGUAACACGUGGGUAACCUGCCUCUAAGAUUGGGAUAACUCGUCGAAAGAUGAGCUAAUACCGAAUAAGACCACAGUUCCCGCGGGAACAGGGGUCAAAGGUAGCCUCUGCUUGCAAGCUAUCACUUAGAGAUGGGCCUGCGCACCAUUAGCUAGUUGGUAGGGUAACGGCCUACCAAGGCAAAGAUGGUUAGCUGGUCUGAGAGGAUGAUCAGCCACACUGGAACUGAGACACGGUCCAGACUCCUACGGGAGGCAGCAGUGGGGAAUAUUGCGCAAGGGGCGAAAGCUUGACGCAGCAACGCCGCGGGAGUGAUGAAGGCCUUCGGGUCGUAAAGCUCUGUCGGGAGGAACGAAUGCUCCUGAGGUUAACAGCCUCGGGAGGUGACGGUACCUUCAAAGGAAGCACCGGCUAACUCUGUG